ACGUUUCUUCCUUGUCAGCUGACACAAUGUUACGCUUUGUCAGUAGAGGGCGCUGGAGGGACACAGCAGGAGGAAGGGGCCUCUCUUCCUGGUUCCGGUAUAUUUCUUCCUGCUGGCUCCUGUGUGCGCAGGACGCCCGGUAGAGCUCAUCCCUAGCAAACUUGGGCGGCACUUCUCCAGGCACCUGCCCUGUGAGUUCUAUGGGUGCUCAGCUGGCCUGUAGGUGAUGAAUUCAACAGCAGCCACCACGGGCAGCUUCCAGAAGAUUGUUGUCAACGUUCCAGUGGGCAGAUUCUUGCCCACAAGGCUUGGCCCACCGGCACUCUGGUGGAGGUUUUCCUGCUUGCCCAUCCUGUCCUGUACUUCCCUGACCACCAGCUCAGCCCGGUAACUGUGGCCCAGCUCUGGUUCAGGGCAGCCCAGCAAAAUUCCCCCACAGUCUAGUGGGUAACAAUCACAAUCUCUUCAACGAGCCCUGAAUCUCAUGUCUGAGAUCUUUGGUGAUAGGUAAUUAUCACAGUGUUUCUCAGAAUGAAAUAGAUGGGCAGGCUUCUAAAAUAUUUCUUGAUCUAUAUGACAGAAAAAUCUGACUUGGCCAAAAACCUGACUUGAGUAGUCAGUUUCUAGACCUAAGUCAAUGCACAGACCCAGAGCCUCUUGACUGAAAGGGACACUGGAUCUCCUUGAGGAAGGACCUGCUGCAUUUUCACAAGUAUGCUCUGUGAAUCUUUUUCUAAGCCUAAUCCAAGAGGACCUAGUGCCAUUUACUGGAGUGACUGUGCAAUACCCUAACAUUUUGAAGAUCACUAGACACUGGCUAUGAAUUGACACUAAUUCCUGGGCAUCCAAAAUGUGACUCUGACCUACCAGUCAAAGUGGGGGCUGUAGUAAUCAAGUAACAGAGUCUUAGCUGAAGUUUGACUCACAGUGGGCCUAAGUCAUCCACAGACCCACCUUGUGGGUUGUUUCCUCAGAUCUUGAAUGUAUAACUGUAACACGCGUACUUGGAAACUGGAAGUAUCCCCCACAUUGACUCUUGGGCCCAUGGGAUGAGAGCCAUUACAGUUGGAAAGGCUAAAUAGAAACCCCUGGAACUUCUCUUCCAUGCCAAAUAAUAAAUCAGAAGCAAUAUUGGGAAAUUUCAGAGAUUUAUGCCAUCAUUCAAGCAUUGAAAGAAUACAGGAUGGUGAUAUCUAUCCUGUUCCCAUUUAACUCACCUGUUUGGCCUGUGCAGAUGCUGAAUGAUUAUUGGAGAAUAACUGUGGACUGUCAUAAGUGAAUCAGGUGGUGAUUCCAAAUGCAGCUGUCGUCUCUGUUGUACCUUUACUGGAACAAAUCAGCGCAAUUGCUGGCAUUUGCUCCCGUCUUCAUCUGUAAGGAAGUUUCAUGCUGUUGUAACUCCAUUAAAGAAGAAAGACCCCAGGCCACCUGAGUCACGAUUCUCCUUCUGUAGCAACCAAACUCCUGGCACUGGAGGCAAGAACUUCAUCUGGCCAUGAUGGCCUCCCGGGCACAGAUGCUCACCAGACAUCUUCUGGACCAUGCCAGGAAGAAGGCCACUGCUUGUGAGGGCUGUGUGGAUGGAGAGAGCUCCAGGAUGCUGCGCCCUCCGUGUCGCCAUGUCAUUCUCUUCUGCCUUUCCAGCUACCCGUAAUUCAGGGUUUCAGCUAUAGCCCAACAGGAGCAUGGUGAAUGUGGUCUGAUGACACAAAGCCCAGCAAAGCACAUCCUGCAGCCUGGAAAUGGAGUGACUGUUCCUAUUACUAAAAUCAGAAAAGGAAUUAUGGUGAGAUCCUCACACAGAAGACCCUGCAAUAUAACAUCCUGAGCAACAACCCUACAAUGGAUGUGGUGAUGAAGCUCAUAGGGAAUUGCCUCAUAAUACCCAUCAAGGUCGGCUGACGGUGUCAGCCCAAAGAACACUUCAGCACAAGAGUUUUAUAGAUGCCAUCACAAGAUGGUUCAGCAAGGAUGAGCUCUGCUGGUUUGUCUUGAUCCAAGGGAAGUGAGUGGUCUGUGUCACUUCCAGGCACUUACCAGCACUAGAUUCAUCAUGAAAAGAAUCAGUCCCAAGGAUUUUUUUUUUUUUGGAUUGAGGUGAACCCUCCCUGGCAACAGUACCAAUCCUGUGGUCUAGUGUACUAGUUAGUAAUGCUUUUGGCUUCAAGUAACCCGAAUCCCACUUAACAGUGGCUUUGUGACACAAACACAUUUGUUGUUUACUUAGCAAGGAGUUCCAAAGACAGCUGCCUCAUAGUUCAUUUAGCAGUUUAAAUUUAUCAUCAAAAAAAUCCAGGCUCUUUCUUUCUAUUCUGCCAUCCUGAGAAUAUGUUUUUGUGUUUGGUGCCUCAUGGUUGCAAAAUGGCUGCUGUGGUGUCAAGCAUCCCAACCAUAUGCAAAAGCAGUUAGUAUGGAUCAGGCAAUAGGCUUUCUCCUCAGAAGGUUCUAUUUAUUAAGAAAGUUCUGCUUUUCCUACAAUCCCUCUGCAGACAUCCCCUUCCAUUUCGCUGGUCAGAACUGGGACAUGGGGCCACCCCUGUCUGCCAGGGGAAGUGGGAGAGGGUAAAGGAGCAGAUGGUUGAGAAUGGCUUCUGGGUAGCCACACAGUAGUGUCUUCCACACCCAGUGAAGUGCCUGAGACAGACGCCUUCACCUUGCUAGAAGGAGGCUUCCUUUGUUUUCCAGGACUACAAAGACCUUUACUGGAGGAGCAACAAACUAUAGCUGCUUUGGACAAAAAUCUAUUCAAGCUUAAAAUGCAAGAGCAUUAGCUGCUCAGAGCCGUCACCAAGGAGAGAUAAAAUACGUCUGCUCUCUCAAGACGUGGGAGAUGCUUGCGGUGUGAUUAUUUUGUUGGCUGGGAAAGCUGCUUAGCCAACAGAAAAAGGAACUUACCUGAACAUUUAUGAGUCGGCUUUUCAAAGGCAGCGACCCAUCUUCCUUUUCACCCCUCCCCCUCCCCCUUCCCAAUAAGGGAACACUUAGCAAAACUAAAUAAAUUAUCAGCCCGGCCAUGAAGAAAUGCUCUUCCUGGGUAAUGCGGGGGUGACUCGAAGCCAUAAAGGCAAAUUCCAGGACUCAGGUCA